rnacentral:rRNA from 1 species
AUGGCAUCCUUCAGCUCAUCCAACUCCACGCUCACCGGCCAAAUUACCGAGAAACUCACCCGCACAAACUUCAUCCUCUGGCGCACACAAAUCACUCCGCAGCUCAGAGGCGCGGGCGUCUAUGACUAUGUUGACGGCACCAUGCCGGAACCAGCCAAGACCGUCGUCACCAAGGACAAGGACGGGAAGGAGAUGACCACACCAAACCCCCUUCAUCCGAUCUGGUUCCGGGAAGAUCAGCAGGUACUUGGUUAUCUUCUGAACAAUCUUUCCAAGGAGUACUCGUGCAGGUGA